rnacentral:rRNA from 1 species
AAUGGGCGGAAGCCUGAACCAGCCAUCCCGCGUGCAGGAUGACUGCCCUAUGGGUUGUAAACUGCUUUUAUCUGGGAAUAAACCACUCUAUUUAUGGGGUGUUGAAGGUACCAGAAGAAUAAGCACCGGCUAACUCCGUGCCAGCAGCCGCGGUAAUACGGAGGGUGCAAGCGUUAUCCGGAAUCACUGGGUUUAAAGGGUGCGUAGGCGGCUGUAUAAGUCAGGGGUGAAAGGCUACAGCUUAACUGUGGAAUUGCCUUUGAUACUGUAUAGCUUGAAUAAGGAUGAGGUUGGCGGAAUGUGGCAUGUAGCGGUGAAAUGCAUAGAUAUGCCAUAGAACACCAAUUGCGAAGGCAGCUAACUGGACCUUUAUUGACGCUGAGGCACGAAAGCGUGGGGAUCAAA